rnacentral:lncRNA from 1 species
AGAUGUAAAAUCUGAGCUGCAACACUGAACAAAAGCUGUACUUGCCAGCCAGCAAAGAUGCUACCACUCUGCACAACAGAUAAAACCCAUACAUAUAGGGAAGUCAAAAGAGUCUUUAAGCUACAGUGUUUGAGAGGCUGUUUGUCUCUGAUGGAAAAUUAAGAAAAUGAGUCCAUUUCUAAGAAGAUGUGGUUCGAACAUACAGAGCUACAUAAUAUGAGUAAAAUAGGACCUAACAGUAGUGUUCUCCAGCAUUGCUCUGCCUUUCCUUUUCUGGAUGUAACAACAUUACUAAGAAAGGAAGAAAAAGCAAAAAUCUGCUCUCGGGGAGAUUCCAGAAUGUUGGAAAGCCCCAAAUGGAAGUCUCUGCUUUGGUUACAGGACAUAAGGUUUAAUAAAUAAAAAGAUGCUCAUCUGGGAUGCUGCACCAAUUAUCAUGUACUAAAUAAGGUUACCUACUUCACUCUCCAGGUAGAAAUGUCUAUCAUAAGCAUGUGCCACAGAAGGUCUCUCAAGUAUCAUUAUUGGCUGUGUUGAAUUUUGUUUUUAGUUCUCUUUUAUAAGGUCUGUAGUCUUACUUUCAGUGAGGAAGUGUUUUCUCAGGUUCUCAAGAAAGUAACAAAAUGCCAGCAUUGUCAAGGUCACCAUUGCCACUGAAUUAUCUUACUGUCUGAUUAUUCCAUCUUCCUCUGCAUCAUAUUAGCCUGAUGACUACAUUCUAAUUAUUUAAAGCGUUAUGUAAAUCAAAGCAGUAAAUGUAAUUUCUAGUCUUACUAGAUAUCAUGUACAUUAGGUCGAAUAACUCUAGAAAUGUCGUCAUA